AUCGAUAUGAUUCACUCAAUUUGUCUACUAAACCUACUACUCAUCGUAUCUGAUAUGCGCGGUAUGCUGGUGGACAGAAAACAGAGUUGAUUCAAAACAGAGUUGGUCCAAACCAGACAUUAACAAGAACCCGCGCCAAGCGCGGGUUUUUUU
rfam:Photorhabdus luminescens subsp. laumondii TTO1 complete genome